AUGUCGUCCGCCGCGCGGCGCGCCAGCCACCCGGCGCUGGUAAACGGGGACGGGGAGUACGGGCGGGAGGACGAGGAUGAGGAGGAGGAGGAGGAGGGGGAGGAGGGGGACGAGCCGGAGGAGGAGCCGCGGCUCAAGUACCAGCGGCUGGGCGGGAGCGUGCCGGCGAUCCUCUCCACCGACGCCGCCGCCGCCAUCGCCGUCACCGACCGCGCCGUCCUGCUCGGCACCCACGACGGCACCCUCCACAUCCUCGACUUCCAGGGCAACCAGUCAAAGGAGAUCAAGGCUCACACAGCAACCAUUAAUGACAUCAGUUUUGAAGAUCGUGAAUAUAUAGGAAGCUGCUCAGAUGACGGCACAGUAGUAAUAAGCAACCUCUUCACUGAUGAGAAACUCAAGUUUGAGUACCAUCGCCCCAUGAAAGCAAUUGCUUUAGACCCUCAGUACUCCCGGAGCAACAAUAGAUUUGCUACAGGUGGCUUAGCAGGUCAAGUACUUGUGCUGACAAAGAAGAGUUGGGUGUCAGGCUAUAACAAAAAGGUUCUGCGUGAGGGUGAAGGGCCGAUCCAUUCUAUGAAGUGGAGGACAGAUCUUCUUGCCUGGGCUAAUGAUGCAGGGGUGAAAGUGCAUGAUAUGAAAACGGACAGAGGAAUUGCAUUCAUAGAGAAACCAAAAGGAAUUCCUCGGCCAGAGGUUUUACUUCCUCACUUGGUCUGGCAGGACGACACAGUUUUAGUUAUUGGGUGGGGAACAAGUGUCAAGAUUGCUGCAAUUCGAACAGAUUCAUCUCAAGGACUCAAUGGAAUGCAAAGGAGUAUUUCAGCAGCAAGUUCUGAGAAGUAUGUUGAUAUUGUGGGCUCUUUCCAAACUGGCUACCACAUAUCUGGAAUUGCUCCAUUUGGCGAUCUUUUGGUUAUGCUUGCUUAUAUCCCCGAAGAGGAUGAUGGAGAUAAAAAAAUUAGUACUUCUGUUUCUUCACGCCAGGGAACAGCGCAGCGUCCAGAAAUACAUCUUGUAUCAUGGAAAAAUGAUGUGCUUACUACUGAUGCUCUGCCCAUUCAUGGUUAUGAGCACUAUAAGGCAAAGGAUUACACUCUCGCUCAUGCACCUUUCUCAGGAAGUAGCAAUGCGGGUGGACAGUGGGCUGCUGGCGAUGAACCGCUGUAUUACAUCGUCUCUCCUAAGGAUAUUGUGGUAGCAAAGCCAAGAGAUACUGAAGACCAUAUUGCGUGGCUUCUUCAACAUGGUUGGCAUGAAAAGGCAUUGGCUGCAGUUGAAGCAGGACAAGGGAGGACUGAGCUUCUUGAUGAGGUGGGCACAAGAUACCUUGAUCACUUGAUCAUUGAAAGAAAAUAUGCUGAAGCAGCGCAACUCUGUCCAAAGUUACUGCGAGGAUCUCCUUCAGCAUGGGAGAGGUGGGUCUUUCACUUUGCUCAUCUCCGCCAGCUUCCUGUGUUGAUCCCUUACAUACCCAUAGAGAAUCCACAGCUGAGUGAUACCGCUUAUGAGGUUGCUCUUGUAGCUUUAACUACCAAUGCGUCUUUUCACGAACUUCUCUUGACUACAAUAAAAAGUUGGCCAACUACAUUAUACUCUGCUUCACCAGUCAUAUCUGCUAUUGAGCCACAGCUCAAUUCCUCAUCGAUGACUGGCUCAUUAAAAGAGGCUUUAGCUGAGUUGUACGUGAUCAACAGUCAAUAUGAAAAGGCCCUUUCUCUCUUCGCUGAACUGCUGAAGCCUGAAGUAUUUGAGUUUAUCGAGAAGCACAGUUUGCAUGAUGCCAUUCAUGAUAAGGUUGUCAAUCUUAUGCUAUUGGAUGGUAAAAGGGCAGUCCAUCUAUUGAUCCAACAUCGUGAUAUCAUUCCCCCGUAUGAAGUCGUGGAGCAACUGUUGCAUGCGAGUAAAAGUUGCGACAGAAAAUAUCUGUUGCAUCAGUAUUUGCAUGCUUUGUUUGAGGUAGACAUACAUGCUGGAAAAGAUUACCAUGAUAUGCAGCUGGAGCUUUAUGCGGAUUAUGAGCCAAGGAUGUUGCUACCCUUCCUUCGUACCAGCCAGCAUUACAGGCUUGACAAGGCAUAUGAAAUAUUUGCACAAAAAGAAUUUGUCAAGGAGCAAGUUUUUGUUCUUGGUCGUAUGGGAAAUGCUAAGGAAGCGCUUUCUACAAUUAUAAACAAACUGGAAGACAUACAGGAGGCCGUUGAAUUUGUUACGGAGCAACAUGAUGAUGAAUUAUGGGACGAACUGAUAAGACAGUGCCUCCAAAAGCCUGAAAUGGUUGGGAUGCUGUUGGAACAUACUGUCGGCAAUCUUGACCCUCUGUACAUUGUCAGUUUGGUUCCAGAUGGGCUAGAAAUACCCAAAUUGCGGGAUCGCCUUGUGAAGAUUGUGACAGACUAUCGAACAGAAACUUCACUGCGACAUGGAUGCAACGAUAUACUAAAGGCCGAUUGUGUUAAUCUUUUGGUCAAAUACUACCAUGAGGCUCGGCGUGGGGUCUGCAUGGCAAGCAUGGACGAGGAGGCACAAGGAGCCAGAGUCAAUGAAGGAUCUUCGCGAACAGGCGACAGAUCAUCGACUUUACGUAAUCUAGAGAUGAAAUCCAGAACGAGAUGUGGUGCUCGAUGCUGCCUGUGCUUCGACCCUUUGUCCAUCCAGGACAUGUCAUUCAUCGUGUUCUAUUGCUGCCAUGCGUAUCACCAGUCUUGCCUCGAAGGCGGACUGGACUCGAUGAAAUCAAACAGCAACGCCCGGGACAGCGACGAUGGGUCGGAGGACGACGACGGUUCCCCCUCGGGCGAGUCUAGAAUGCGGUGUGUGCUGUGCACCACAGCCGCCGCAUAA
rnacentral:rRNA from 1 species